UGGGGAAUCUUCCGCAAUGGACGAAAGUCUGACGGAGCAACGCCGCGUGAGUGAAGACGGCCUUCGGGUUGUAAAGCUCUGUUAUUCGGGAAGAACGAUUCGUUUGUGAACAAUGAACGGAAGUGACGGUACCGAAAGAGAAAGCCACGGCUAACUACGUGCCAGCAGCCGCGGUAAUACGUAGGUGGCAAGCGUUGUCCGGAAUUAUUGGGCGUAAAGAGCGCGUAGGCGGUAUGGUAAGUCUGUCUUAGAAGUGCGGGGCUUAACCCCGUGAGGGGACAGAGACUGUCAUACUGUAGUCUCGGAGAGGAAAGCGGAAUUCCUAGUGUAGCGGUGAAAUGCGUAGAGAUUAGGAAGAACACCGGUGGCGAAGGCGGCUUUCUGAACGAGCACAGACGCUGAGGCGCGAAAGCGUGGGGAGCGAACAGG
rnacentral:rRNA from 1 species